CCCUGAGCACUGCCUCGGGGCUUCUAUUCCGAAUUUGUAACCAGGGGGUCUGCUCGUG
rnacentral:ncRNA from 1 species